rnacentral:rRNA from 1 species
UACGUAGGGCGCAAGCGUUGUCCGGAAUUAUUGGGCGUAAAGAGCUUGUAGGCGGUUUGUCGCGUCUGCUGUGAAAUUUCGGGGCUCAACCCCGAACUUGCAGUGGGUACGGGCAGACUAGAGUGUGGUAGGGGAGACUGGAAUUCCUGGUGUAGCGGUGAAAUGCGCAGAUAUCAGGAGGAACACCGAUGGCGAAGGCAGGUCUCUGGGCCACUACUGACGCUGAGGAGCGAAAGCGUGGGGAGCGAACAGG